UACGGGGGGGGCAAGCGUUGUUCGGAAUUACUGGGCGUAAAGCGUGCGCAGGCGGCUUUGCAAGACAGAUGUGAAAUCCCCGGGCUUAACCUGGGAACUGCAUUUGUGACUGCAUGGCUGGAGUGCGGCAGAGGGGGAUGGAAUUCCGCGUGUAGCAGUGAAAUGCGUAGAUAUCGGGAGGAACACCAGUGGCGAAGGCGACUACCUGGCCUGUUCUUGACGCUGAGGCGCGAAAGCUAGGGGAGCAAACGGG
rnacentral:rRNA from 1 species